GGCUGUGGAAGAGGUGGCGUUACAAGCCAACGCCAUAGAAGACGUAGACGACCAUUGGCAAGAAGAUCUCUGGGAUGAACCGGCCCCAGAGCGUAUGCGAUCCGAUCGAUACCGGCUGACUGGUUUGACGACUGCUGGGAUCGGGACGAGGUAGAGCGGGACGACGCACAGGUAAAUCCGCCGCCAUCGUGCAGAGAAAUGCACCUGGAACGCCACGAGGUGAUCGUAGGAGAUUACAGCCUAAGCCACGAAGAACACCAGGUAGACAGCCAAAGUUUUUCAAGUGACAACGAACCUGUGGAAGACUUCGCGGACGAGCUAGCAACAACCAUAAGAGAGCUCUUAGAAGACGGCAGAACCAUACCGGAUCCGCUAACCGAGAAAUUGUUGGAUUCGGUAAGCAGGUACUCGGAAGGAGUACUGACGCGGAAUAGUUUGGGUGCAGUGUUAAUGGAGUUAGAACGCAAACUAAUU